ACAAGAUGCCGAUAGUAGCUGGCUUAUUAAUGUACAUUAUUCUUUGAUAUUUCAGGAAGCCACAGUGUUCAACUGUGAACUACAGAGUCCUGUAAGUUUAAAAUAACUUUGUUUCUCAACUAUGUGAUAUCCAGGAUUUUUUACAAUUACUUUGAGAUUUUUCCUCAUCAGUAAUGCAAAGAAAAUUGCAAUAUGAUUAUACAAUUUAUUUUUAUUUUUUUAGACAGGUUAUCACUCUGUCGCCCAGGCCGGAGUGCAGGGGUGUGAUUGUAGCUCAUUGCAGCCUCAAACUCCUGGGCUCAGACGAUCCUCCUUCAGCUUCCUAAGUAGCUGAGAUUACAGGCACGUGCCACCAUGCCUGGCUAAUUUAUUUUUUGUAGAGAGAGGGGUCUCACUUUGUUGCCCAGGAGUUCAAGGCUGUACUCCAGCCUGGGCGACAAAGCAAGAACCCUGUUCUCUAGGGAAAAAAAAAAAAAAGUCAAAACAUUUCAUAAAACUUUCACACAAUGGAGGUUUAGUUAAGCUGUUACUCUUCUGUUCAAUUUUGUUGCACCUAUCAGAAGGCAUAAUUUCAUAAAAUCAGGAUUCCUUGGCGUUUUAACCACUCUCAAAAUAUUUGAUCCUACUGGAAGUUACUAUGCAAUGCUAUCUUGUCCCUGAAUCAACAUAAUUCAACUAUCAGCUUCAUAUAUAUAUAUAUAUAUAUAUAUUUUUUUUUUUUGAGACAGAGUUUCGCUGUUGUUGCCCAGGCUGGAGUGCAAUGGCGCAAUCUUGGCUCACCACAACCUCCGCCUCCCGGGUUCAAGCGAUUCUCCUGCCUCAGCCUCCUGAGUAGCUGGGAUUACAGGCACGCACCACCACCGCAGCUAAUUUUGUAUUUUUAGUAGAGACAGGGUUUCUCCAUGUUGGUCAGGCUGGUCUUGAACUCCCGACCUCAGGUGAUCCACCCGCCUCGGCCUCCCAGAAUGCUGGGUUUACAGGCAUGACCCACUGUGCCUGGCAGUUUCGUGUAUUCUUACUCCACUGGGUUCUGCUUUAUCGUAUUGACAGUAGACAUUUCAUUAAAUGAAAUGUAAAAAGAACACCAAUACAUACAUAUUAAAAUUUUCUUACUAGAAUCUUUUAGUAUAAUUUAAAAACCUGAAAUGAGAAUUCGCAUCACUUUAAGUGGGCCUCUUGGGUUUUGAGGAUGAAGUGGCUUUCUCUCAGAAAUAGCUUUGAACCGUAACUCUAGUAACUACAGUGGCAGGCUCCAUAGCUUGAACACAGCGUAUUUUGUAUCAAUGCCCACAAAUAAAACCUAUUAUAACUCUUAGGAAAUAAAACUUGAAUCCUGAUUGGCAGAACUGCCUCAGUAAGGGCUGGCUGAACUGCAUACCCAAAAUGUUUUAGAUCUACGGUCCACUUUCACGUUGGCUGGACUAAUGCGUUUCUACUGCUCCUCUUACACGUUGACUGACUUUCCUCUCAGGAAGAGGUAGAGACUAUGUUCCUUUUUUCCUCAAUCUGGGACUUGGUUUCUGAGACAUCACUGUUGUAACCAAGAGCAUGGUAAAAGUGAUGUUAUGUGACAUUGAAGGAUAAGUCCUAAAAAGCCAACUCUGCCAAGCUCUCCUGGAGCCCCAAAAUACCACCUAAGUCCAGCUGCCCUGAAGCCACCAUGCUAGAGAUUUUCGGGAAAGACUAUACCACUAAUAGUGAAAAGCACAAAGAGCAUCCUUUCAGCUCAGAAGUGAAAAGCUUCAUGAGACUCAGAACCAGAAGAGUCUGAUACUCCCGAGUUCUUCACCCACAGAAAAGCUUAUCAUACACCAUUGAUCUUUGGAUGCUUUGCUAACAUAGCAAGAAAUAAUAUACAGUUGAUACUGCUAAGCACCACAGCCACCACUUGGUUGGGUUCAGAAGACAUCCUACUUUACCUUUUUAAAGUUUGGUCCAAAUUUGUACCUACAACUUUUCCUUUUUUCCUGCAGCACAGGUAAAAUGUUGGAACCUUUAACAAGUUCAGGCAAUGAUGAUAUAAAGAAGUUAACAUGCAACUAGCUGCACUGGCUUCUAAAUUGAGUUCACUGACCUUACCAUGAGUUUGUAGUAACAUUUCUCUCCAAUCUCUGAAAAAGUUUUUCUCUCCAGGCCAUCUGUACGCUUUACGUAGGGACUGUUAACCAACCCACGUAUUACACAUAAGGACUCUAGGUAAAAUCUAGUGUUUGAAAAACAGCAUGUUAUAUAUUACACUAGGUUUUUCGUUUUUUUUCCAGUGGUGGGCUGUCAUUACAAAAGAUUGAACUUUUAUACACUUCCUAAUCAAACUUAAGGGGAAUCUAAACACAAAAACUAAUUCACUUUCUAGGAGCUCUUUAAAAAUGGGCUUAAACCUACAAUCCAAUCUCGUAUCUAAGUAUGAUGGAAUGCUUUUUCCCCAGUGGCAUUCAUAUAGUUCAGCUGUCAAGCAGUACCUUUCUUAAAAUACCAGACUGAAAAUAGUUCAAUUUUCUGUAAAAAGUCAGAGCCGGGCACGGUGGCUCAUGCCUAUAAUCCCAGCAGUUUGGGAGGCUGAGGCGGGCGGAUCACCUGAGGUUGGAAGUUCGAGACCAGCCUGACCAACACAGGGAAACCCCGUCUCUACUAAAAAUACAAAAUUAGCUGGGCGUGGUGGCACAUGCCUGAAAUCCCAGCUACUUGGGAGGCUGAGGCAGAACAAUCGCUUGAACCUGGGAGGCAGAGGUUGCCGUGAGGCGAGAUCGCGACACUACACUCGUCUGGGCAACAAGAGUGAAACUCCGUCUCAAAAAAAAAAAAAGUCAGAUCUGUGUAAAGAGAAUUAGUGUACCUGAAAAUUGUUUUCAGCUGUCAAUCACUUUGGUCCUUUACUGUCAUUCUAAGAAUCAGCCUAAUUUGGUU
rnacentral:lncRNA from 1 species